rnacentral:rRNA from 1 species
GGGUUGUGAGGUUAAGCGACUAAGCGUACACGGUGGAUGCCCUGGCAGUCAGAGGCGAUGAAGGACGUGCUAAUCUGCGAUAAGCGCCGGUAAGGUGAUAUGAACCGUUAUAACCGGCGAUUUCCGAAUGGGGAAACCCAGUGUGACUCGUCACACUAUCAUUAACUGAAUCCAUAGGUUAAUGAGGCGAACCGGGGGAACUGAAACAUCUAAGUACCCCGAGGAAAAGAAAUCAACCGAGAUUCCCCCAGUAGCGGCGAGCGAACGGGGAGGAGCCCAGAGUCUGAAUCAGCAUGUGUGUUAGUGGAAGCGUCUGGAAAGGCGCGCGAUACAGGGUGACAGCCCCGUACACAAAAGCGCAUAUGCUGUGAGCUCGAUGAGUAGGGCGGGACACGUGGUAUCCUGUCUGAAUAUGGGGGGACCAUCCUCCAAGGCUAAAUACUCCUGACUGACCGAUAGUGAACCAGUACCGUGAGGGAAAGGCGAAAAGAACCCCGGCGAGGGGAGUGAAAAAGAACCUGAAACCGUGUACGUACAAGCAGUGGGAGCCCCACCACUAAGCCAGUGGUGAACUCCACAUACGCAUCCUUUGCUGAGGAUACGGUUAACGGAGCGAAAGCGACGUUCAACCUCAAAAGAAGCAGAGGGGGCUUAGUGGUGGGGUGACUGCGUACCUUUUGUAUAAUGGGUCAGCGACUUAUAUUCUGUAGCAAGGUUAACCGAAUAGGGGAGCCGGAGGGAAACCGAGUCUUAAUUGGGCGUUAAGUUGCAGGGUAUAGACCCGAAACCCGGUGAUCUAGCCAUGGGCAGGUUGAAGGUUGGGUAACACUAACUGGAGGACCGAACCGACUAAUGUUGAAAAAUUAGCGGAUGACCUGUGGCUGGGGGUGAAAGGCCAAUCAAACCGGGAGAUAGCUGGUUCUCCCCGAAAGCUAUUUAGGUAGCGCCUCGUGAAUUCAUCUCCGGGGGUAGAGCACUGUUUCGGCUAGGGGGCCAUCCCGGCUUACCAACCCGAUGCAAACUGCGAAUACCGGAGAAUGUUAUCACGGGAGACACACGGCGGGUGCUAACGUCCGUCGUGAAGAGGGAAACAACCCAGACCGCCAGCUAAGGUCCCAAAGUCAUGGUUAAGUGGGAAACGAUGUGGGAAGGCCCAGACAGCCAGGAUGUUGGCUUAGAAGCAGCCAUCAUUUAAAGAAAGCGUAAUAGCUCACUGGUCGAGUCGGCCUGCGCGGAAGAUGUAACGGGGCUAAACCAUGCACCGAAGCUGCGGCAGCGACGCUGAUGCGUUGUUGGGUAGGGGAGCGUUCUGUAAGCCGUUGAAGGUGGCCUGUGAGGGUUGCUGGAGGUAUCAGAAGUGCGAAUGCUGACAUAAGUAACGAUAAAGCGGGUGAAAAGCCCGCUCGCCGGAAGACCAAGGGUUCCUGUCCAACGUUAAUCGGGGCAGGGUGAGUCGACCCCUAAGGCGAGGCCGAAAGGCGUAGUCGAUGGGAAACGGGUUAAUAUUCCCGUACUUGGUGUUACUGCGAAGGGGGGACGGAGAAGGCUAUGUUGGCCGGGCGACGGUUGUCCCGGUUUAAGCGUGUAGGUGUGUGUUCCAGGUAAAUCCGGUUCACUUUAACACUGAGGCGUGACGACGAGGCACUACGGUGCUGAAGCAACAAAUGCCCUGCUUCCAGGAAAAGCCUCUAAGCAUCAGGUAACAUCAAAUCGUACCCCAAACCGACACAGGUGGUCAGGUAGAGAAUACCAAGGCGCUUGAGAGAACUCGGGUGAAGGAACUAGGCAAAAUGGUGCCGUAACUUCGGGAGAAGGCACGCUGACACGUAGGUGAAGUGAUUUACUCACGGAGCUGAAGUCAGUCGAAGAUACCAGCUGGCUGCAACUGUUUAUUAAAAACACAGCACUGUGCAAACACGAAAGUGGACGUAUACGGUGUGACGCCUGCCCGGUGCCGGAAGGUUAAUUGAUGGGGUCAGCGCAAGCGAAGCGCCUGAUCGAAGCCCCGGUAAACGGCGGCCGUAACUAUAACGGUCCUAAGGUAGCGAAAUUCCUUGUCGGGUAAGUUCCGACCUGCACGAAUGGCGUAAUGAUGGCCAGGCUGUCUCCACCCGAGACUCAGUGAAAUUGAACUCGCUGUGAAGAUGCAGUGUACCCGCGGCAAGACGGAAAGACCCCGUGAACCUUUACUAUAGCUUGACACUGAACAUUGAGCCUUGAUGUGUAGGAUAGGUGGGAGGCUUUGAAGUGUGGACGCCAGUCUGCAUGGAGCCGACCUUGAAAUACCACCCUUUAAUGUUUGAUGUUCUAACGUGGACCCGUAAUCCGGGUUGCGGACAGUGUCUGGUGGGUAGUUUGACUGGGGCGGUCUCCUCCUAAAGAGUAACGGAGGAGCACGAAGGUUGGCUAAUCCUGGUCGGACAUCAGGAGGUUAGUGCAAUGGCAUAAGCCAGCUUGACUGCGAGCGUGACGGCGCGAGCAGGUGCGAAAGCAGGUCAUAGUGAUCCGGUGGUUCUGAAUGGAAGGGCCAUCGCUCAACGGAUAAAAGGUACUCCGGGGAUAACAGGCUGAUACCGCCCAAGAGUUCAUAUCGACGGCGGUGUUUGGCACCUCGAUGUCGGCUCAUCACAUCCUGGGGCUGAAGUAGGUCCCAAGGGUAUGGCUGUUCGCCAUUUAAAGUGGUACGCGAGCUGGGUUUAGAACGUCGUGAGACAGUUCGGUCCCUAUCUGCCGUGGGCGCUGGAGAACUGAGGGGGGCUGCUCCUAGUACGAGAGGACCGGAGUGGACGCAUCACUGGUGUUCGGGUUGUCAUGCCAAUGGCACUGCCCGGUAGCUAAAUGCGGAAGAGAUAAGUGCUGAAAGCAUCUAAGCACGAAACUUGCCCCGAGAUGAGUUCUCCCUGAGACUUUAAGUCUCCUGAAGGAACGUUGAAGACGACGACGUUGAUAGGCCGGGUGUGUAAGCGCAGCGAUGCGUUGAGCUAACCGGUACUAAUGAACCGUGAGGCUUAACCUUACAACGCCGAAG